rnacentral:lncRNA from 1 species
CAAGCCAAAAAUUCUAAAGAAUGCGAUUUUGUCUGCAACUCUUUGUUCCUGAUCAGGCAAUACUCUGAAGAAACUUGGGCAAAAUAUUGCCAGAACUGGGCAAAUUUCUCCCCAUGAAAACAACAAAGGUAAAAGGGCCCUUACAAUUUUCUUGAAUAUUCUUUUAGUUCUAGAGCUAGUGGAACUCCCUCUCUGUACCUCCCCAUGCAAUAUACUACAAAAUUGCUUCCUGUACCAAGUGUUGCAAAACCUGAAUUGAAUCUUACCCCCAAUCUGCCAGUUGUUCUUGCCUCCCCCUCCCCGUGUAGAACUGGAAGCUAGAUAUCUUGCAUGUUGUCUUCCACCUUGCUUCUGCAACAAAAAGAAAAGGAAGCAUAGUUAUUUGGUUGUGUAGCACUGUCUAUAUUCUGGGUAUAAUAAAUCUGGACAAAUGACUAGUGUAGUUGCUUACAAAACUAGUUUAUUCAGUGGGGGGGUGAAGCAAAGACUGGUUACUUACAAAACUAAAAGGAGAUGAACCUAAUUGUAUAAAAUAGAGAUGAAGCAAAAUCUAACUGCUGACAAUGUCUAUCUAGUUGAUUACAAAAACAAAAAGCAAGAAAAGUCUGAACCUAGUAGUGAAAAAAUAUGCCGGCAUCCUAUAAAAGUCUGCCAUUACACUGAGUUUGGUGUGUUGGGAACAUAGUGGUGAUUGCAAAAAAAAUGCCCAUGCUCAUUGAGUUCGCUAACAUGAUAGAAGAAGAAAAUUCUAAUGUUUAAUUUACAUUAUGUCGCUUACGUAUUAAUUACAUCCCUAAUUUUUUUUCUAAUAUGUGCAGAUGGCUGGCCUUGAUCUCAAUAAGUUCCCUGAUGACUGUGUUGAUUGUGAUGGUGGCAUUAUACUGCACGCAAGCUGAAUUUGAAAGGGUCCCUAUUUCUAUUGAGGGGUGAGCGAGUCACCAGAACUGGGAACUGUUGUUGUCCAAGAUGUCCUAGGUGUGAAUUUUCGUGUUGCGUUAGCUUCUGCUACUGGUGUGUAUGAUGCUACGACAACUAAAACUACCAUGCCCGUCCCUGCUGCAUUGAGCCCGACUGCAACUCUGCCUAGCCAUGGUGAGCAAGGUCAUGUCGGUGCCGCUGACUUGUUUAGUUUUGAUGAGAAUGAGGUGCAAUCUAGCCACAUGAGCCGUAUGUGGACAUGGAGUUUGACACGCCUGUGGGUGCUAAGACGCAUUACAAUGCCUGCACUCUCUGUUGUGGGUUUGGGAUAAAAGCCAACAUGUCCAGGAGGUCUCCAUAUAGUUAUAUGGUUGAAAAACUGACUUUUGCGUGCAACAAGUCGGGGAAGCCUGAAUACAAUGAUUAUGUCUACACUCCUAUGCUUCACAAACUAUGUUCCGAUUCUGAGGAUUGUGGCGACGGGUAAGAUCUCGGCCUAGGCGAUUUGGAAGAGUGUAUUGUUUUAGGCGACUAGGUCGAUGGAUUCGGCGAUCUAGCGCACCGGGGAUGGGGAAGUUUGUUAGUCAGCUUAGGCAAUUUGGAAGAGUGUGUUAUUUUAGGCAACUUGGACGAUGGGCUAGGCGACCUAGCACACCGAGGAUGGGCGAGUUUGUUGGUCGGCUUAGGCAAUUUGGAAGGGUAUGGUGUUUUAGGAAAAUAGGUCGAUGGGUUAGGCGAGCUAGAACGCCAGAGAUGGCCGAGUUGGUUAGCCGACUUAGCCAAUUUUGGAAGGGUUUGUUGUUUUCGGCAACAUGGAUGAUGGGUUAGGCAACCUAGCACACGGGGGAUGGGCGAGUUUGUUGGUCGGCUUAGGCAAUUUGGAAGGGUAUGGUGUUUUAGGAAAAUAGGUCGAUGGGUUAGGCGAGCUAGUACACCAGGGAUGGCCGAGUUGGUUGGCCGACUUAGCCAAUUUUGGAAGGGUUUGUUGUAUUAGGCAACAUGGAUGAUGGGUUAGGCGGCCUAGCACACGGGGGACGGGCGAGUUUGUUGGUCGGCUUAGGCAAAUUGGAAGGGUGUGUUGUUUUGGGUGAGGCAAUGUGUUAGGCGACCUAGCACGUCGGGGAUGGACGAGUUGGUUGGUCAGCUUAGGUGAAUUGGAAGGGUGUGUUGUUUUAGGCGACUUGGGCAAUGUGUUAGACGACCUAGCAUACCGGGGAUGGACGAGUUGGUUGGUCGGCAUAGGCGAUUGGAAGGGUACGAUGUUUUAGGCGACUAGGUCGAUGGGUUAGGCAAGCUAGUACGCGAGGGAUGAGCGAGUUUGUUGGUCGUCUUAGGUUAUUUUGAAAGGGUUUGUUGUUUUAGGUGACAUGGAUAUGGGUUAGGUGACCUAGCACAUGGGGGAUGGGCCAAUUUAUUUGGUCGGCUUAGACGAAUUGGAAGGGUGUGUUGUUUUAGGCGACUUGGGAAAUGGGUUAGGUGACCUAGCACACCGGGGAUGGACGAGUUGAUUGGUCGGCUUAGGUGAAUUGAAAGGGUGUGUUGUUUUAGGCGACUUGGCCAAUGUAUUAGACGACCUAGCAUACCAGGGAUGGACGAGUUGUUUGGUCGGCUUAGGCGAUUGGAAGGGUACGAUGUUUUAGGCGACCAGGUCAAUGGGUUAGGCGAGCUAGUAUGCCAGGGAUGAGCGAGUUUGUUGGUCGUCUUAGGCGAUUUUGAAAGGGUUUGUUGUUUUAGGUGACAUGGAGAUGGGUUAGGUGACCUAGCACACGGUGGAUGGGGAGUUUGUUUGGUCGGAUUAGCCGAAUUGGAAGGGUGUGUUGUUUUAGGUGACUUGGGCAAUGGGUUCGGUGACCUAGCACACCGGGGAUGGAUUAGUUGGUUGGUCGGCUUAGGCGAUUGGAAGGGUAUGAUGUUUUAGGCAACUAGGUCGAUGGGUUAGCCGAGCUAGUACGUCAGGGAUGGGGGAGUUGGUUAGUCGGCUUAGGCUAUUUGGAAGGGUGUGUUGUUUUAGGCGACAUGGUUUAGGCGUGUAUUAGGUAUCUCCGUCUGUGGAUUAGGCGUGUGAGCGACUUAGUGAUUGGAUUUGAUCGAGUUGGGCGUGGGAUGCAAUGACUAUAUAGUGGAGUGGUAAGUGACUCCACUCGUUUGGUGGUCGUGGGCGACUUAGUUCGGUCGGCUCGGUUUGUGGAUGAGCAGGGCGACUAUGAGUUGGGAUUGAGACCACUCCGUUCUGGAUUAGGUGUAUGGGCGACUUAGUGUAUUGGAUUUGGUGAUGCGAUGACUAUGAAAUGUGAUGGUAGGCGACUUGUGAGUUCGGUGGUCGUGGGUGUUUUAGUUUAACGCGGUCGGCUGUGUAUGUGUGAAAGGGCGAGCGAAUAUGAAUUAAGGUUUAGGUGACUCCAUAUGUGUAUUAGUUGUUUGAGUAACUUAGUGUAUGGAUUUGGUCGAGUUGGGCAUGGGUGCGGCGACUAUAUAAUGGGGUAGUAGGCGACUCCAUUCGUGUCAUACAUUAAAGUUUCCCGUGUGCAUAUGCAGGUUAUAUCAAAGGUAACAUUGAAGUUUCUCAUGCCAUACAUAAACUAGCAAACUGGAACCAGAACAAAAAAUUUCCUCACGUGAACCAACAUUCAGUUUCUUUAUCUAAUGAUUUUGUGUAUAACUGCCUAACUGACGCGAGUUAAAAUGCAAGAGAAAAUGGUAAACUUGGCUAUCCCCGUAUGACGAAUAAAAUUGCCUAUCACAAUUCCAGUUGUAACGGGCUAGCUUCUUGCCGCCCGAUUCCAUUAAGCUGAGUCAAAAAGUUGUCUUACGUAUGUUUAGAUGUUUUGCAGAACAAAGAAGUUCAUAUAUAGAUUUUCAGUCUUACUGCCUAUGAAAACAAAGAAUAAAUUGUCGGUUUAGGCAACUUAACUAGUAGGUUAGGCGAUUUAAGACUCCCUCCGGUGUUUGGAUGAUGCAAAGCUGCUAAAAUGUUCAGUAUUGCCAUUAUAGUCAUACCGAACUUAUCUACAGUUGCCUAUCUACCAGCAGUGUUGCACUGCCUAUUGUAGUCGUGCUAAAACCUACCAAAAACUGCCUACAGCAAAAUUAGAAACAGCUAGAUUCGAGCAGCAUCAAGCCAUUCAAACACUGGCAUGUGAUAAAAAUUCAAAAUUCGAACAAAAUUUCCGCUAACUUCUAACUACUAGUAUAACAUCCAAAGGCGCUAACUGCUAUGUCCAGUGUUCUAUUGCCGAUUAUAAUCUUAUACUGAAGCUAUCUAAAUUGCCUACAAAAAUAUUCAAUGUUGCCUAUUGUAAUCGUACAUCAAGCCAUUAAAGGGAGAACCAUACCUUACACCCACGCCUGUCGUUCAUGAGAUUCUCAGUGAAAAAUUGAUGUGUGUCAUAUGGGAUUUCCCCCCUCCCCCGUCGAGGGGUCGCGCCUAUGAUAUCUAAACUGUAGAUUUCCCCCUCCCGAGUAAGGCGACCCAACCUCCCCUCCAUGGAUGG